GAUGAACGCUAGCGACAGGCUUAACACAUGCAAGUCGAGGGGCAUCACGGGAGUAGCAAUACAACUGGUGGCGACCGGCGCACGGGUGAGUAACGCGUAUGCAACCUACCGAUCAGAGGGGAAUAACCCGGCGAAAGUCGGACUAAUACCGCAUAAAACAGGGGCAACGCAUGGUGAUAUUUGUUAAAGAAAUUCGCUGAUAGAGGGGCAUGCGUUCCAUUAGGUAGUUGGUGAGGUAACGGCUCACCAAGCCGACGAUGGAUAGGGGAACUGAGAGGUUGGUCCCCCACACUGGUACUGAGACACGGACCAGACUCCUACGGGAGGCAGCAGUGAGGAAUAUUGGUCAAUGGGCGGGAGCCUGAACCAGCCAAGUCGCGUGAAGGAAGAAGGAUCUAUGGUUCGUAAACUUCUUUUGCAGGGGAAUAAAGUGCAGGACGUGUCCUGUUUUGUAUGUACCCUGAGAAUAAGGAUCGGCUAACUCCGUGCCAGCCGCCGCGGUAA
rnacentral:rRNA from 1 species